ACCCUCCAUCUCUAUAUCUCCCUAGGCAUGCAACGGCUUUGUUAGAGCAUCAUCAAGAACAUGAAGAAAAAACAAUUUCUUCAAAUAGUCACAUUUGAUGGACUUCAGCUUCUCAGGUCAAGGGUUCCGCCCUUGUCUUCUUCUUCUUCGUUCUUCUCCUCUUUUCUUGGCACAACAAAGUUCAAAGUCAUUCAGCUUCAACUCAGCCAUACUAAAGUUCAAGUCUCAAUCGGAGUCAAAAACUCGCUUUAUGAUAGUAGAAUUGUCUCCAGACAUGUGACCAUCUCUUGCAAAAAUUUGGAUUUCCCGGAACAAUAGAAGAGAAGCCAGAAACUAGCUUUAUUGUACACUAAAAGAAUAGUAAUUACAAAAAGUAUAUGCAUAUGUAGCUAAAAGCUCAAGUCACAUUUCAGAUAGAAGAUUGCUGAUUUUUCGAAGCUCCUUAAGAGCUGUCAUGGCUGUAACUUGUCCUUUGCCAACUAUAACGUUUUUAGAGAAAUUUUCCAAUGACCCUACCUGACCCCUGUCUUGCUGGAAAACUAACUCUAUAACCUGAAUAUGUUCUAGCAUAGAGUGGCCAAGAUUCCUCAAAGUACCCAUCAUAUUCUGGUC
rnacentral:misc_RNA from 1 species